rnacentral:rRNA from 1 species
AGCGUCUGGAAAGGGCGCGCGAUACAGGGUGACAGCCCCGUACACAAAAGCGCAUGUGCUGUGAGCUCGAUGAGUAGGGCGGGACACGUGGUAUCCUGUCUGAAUAUGGGGGGACCAUCCUCCAAGGCUAAAUACUCCUGACUGACCGAUAGUGAACCAGUACCGUGAGGGAAAGGCGAAAAGAACCCCGGCGAGGGGAGUGAAAAAGAACCUGAAACCGUGUACGUACAAGCAGUGGGAGCCCCACCACCAAAGCAUUCUCUGGUGUUGAAGGCCCUGCAAAGCAGCAUCGCGGUGGCGGAGCGUCGUUUGCGACGCCCAACACACAAAACAAGCGGUGAAUGCUUUGGGGUGGGGUGACUGCGUACCUUUUGUAUAAUGGGUCAGCGACUUAUAUUCUGUAGCAAGGUUAACCGWAUAGGGGAGCCGGAGGGAAACCGAGUCUUAAYYGGGCGUUAAGUUGCAGGGUAUAGACCCGAAACCCGGUGAUCUAGCCAUGGGCAGGUUGAAGGUUGGGUAACACUAACUGGAGGACCGAACCGACUAAUGUUGAAAAAUUAGCGGAUGACCUGUGGCUGGGGGUGAAAGGCCAAUCAAACCGGGAGAUAGCUGGUUCUCCCCGAAAGCUAUUUAGGUAGCGCCUCGUGAAUUCAUCUCCGGGGGUAGAGCACUGUUUCGGCUAGGGGGCCAUCCCGGCU